ACCGCACUUCUCCUGCAUCGCAA
rnacentral:snRNA from 1 species